UACGUAGGGGGCAAGCGUUGUCCGGAAUUAUUGGGCGUAAAGAGCUCGUAGGCGGUCUGUUACGUCCGCUAGUGAAAAGCCCAGGGCCUUAACCCUGGGCUUGCAGUGGAUACGGGUAGACUAGAGGCAGGUAGGGGAGAAUCGGAAUUCCCGGUGUAGCGGUAGAAAUGCGCAGAUAGUCGGGAGGAACACCGGAUGGCGAAGGCGGUUCUCUGGGCCU
rnacentral:rRNA from 1 species